CCAUUUGUGCCGGUAGGCUUACACUUUCUCUUUGCGGGUUAUCCUCAGGCGAGAGCGAAUCCAAACUUUCACCGUCCGUGUCUACUGCACGUCCGGUAGGCAUGCUCUGGACUGGAGCUAAAUCGCACCAUACUUCUACAACCGUUUACAGAACGUUUGUGCGUUAUACCGGUACUUCCGUAAAUGGAGCAUGUGAUGUCACUCUCUUACUCACGCUCCGUGCAGCUCCGAGGAAAGAAAAGGGGGUAAAAAAAAAAAUCCUCUCCGUGUCUCCUUUCCAGCCGAUGUCCGCAGAUCGCUAGCCCGCCUGGCUGUAGCCAGUUAUGAACACGCGAACCUGAAUGACGUUAACGUCAGUGAAGGUUCCGGACUGCCGGGGACAUCGCUCACCUUCCGACAGUACCGGGCCAGCAGCAGACCCAGCAUACAGUCACACUCAGUCAGGAUGGGAGAAGCAGCAGAGUUACCACCUCUUCAUUUUGAAGUUUUUCCAGCAUUUGGUACACUCUCCCUUUAAGGUGCUAGCCUUGUCCACGUUGGGAACCGCCCGGAGGCUAUGUUCGUUUUUUUUGGUAUUCCUGUGCCCUCCCGCCUUUUCGAGAAAACAUGGCCGCGAAGCAUAUGGAGAGCGAGGCCGGGGUGAUCCUCGCAGAGUAAAUCCUGGGGCUUUCAUGUAAGCCGUUUGGAGGGGUGCAAACCAUAUAGGGAGAGACGCGAGAUACUGAGAUAUCGCAGUCGGCAAGAAGCAGGCGGCACGGCAGUCGUUGCGCUCGCAGGGAGAAAACCGAUGAAAUGGUGCAGCUUUAACAGCGGCUCAGACGGCUGGAGCAGGAGGUGGCAGAGCACAGACAAAGUUCCUCUGCGCCACAGGGAUCGGGAUCCGGAUCGCACAAGCAGCAGUUCUCUGGACAGCUGUUUCGGAAAGUGAACGACAUGGUGAUGGAAACAUGCCUGAAUUGUGGCAUGCCCAAGGCAUUCACCGUGUCACAGUUGAGGAGCGGCGUGUUGACGUGUAUGGAGAGGGGCCUGCCAGAGGACCGGCGGCGGCUGGUGUCGCACAUGAUGUGUCACAGCGUGGAGACUGCCGACCGCUUUUAUGUCGCGGAACCUGAGCUCGCCGAGCUGCACGUCGGCUGAGAAUGCCUCCGUCAGGCCCUGGGCCUCAGCAAGGUUCCACAGCAUUCUGGAGGUGACACUGCUCAGACGGUGGGAGCCCUGGGGGCACAUGGCGCACAGCCGCUGUAUUAGGUGGUGGUCCUCGACCAGCUGCAGGAGGAGCAUCUGCUGCAGCAGUUGGAGCAGUUGAGGCUGCUGCAGCUGGAGGAUGAGCUGCAGCUGGAGGAUGAGCUGCAGCUGGAGGAUGAGCUGCAGCUGGAGGAUGAGCUGCAGCUGGAGGAUGAGCUGGAGCAGCGGCAGCUAGAGUCGUUGGAGUCAGUCUGAAGUAAGUUUCACCACUUAAUUAUUUUGGUAAUUGAGGCAUUGAUAAUUUGUGUGAACAGAAAUUUAUAUACAUGUCUGAAACUGAAAUCUCUCUUUUUCUGACAGUUCCCCAGUUUUCUGCCAAAAGUAGUGCCAUAUGCUUGGGUAAUGCCAAGGAAUCCGAUUUUAUCUUUUUAAAUAUGUAAUUUAUGUCUCUGUGGUAAUGGGCAGUGAUCAAAAAAAUGUCAUUUUUUUUAAAUAUCACAGAAGGCACUCGUCCGACGCAAGCUGACAUAUCCUGACACCUUAAAGGAUAUGGUUUGCUUCGAGUUCAGGGAUCAUUGGCAGGAAUGACCAAUAAGAACAUAUAUGAUUAGUAUGCUGUUAGUAUGCAGUCAGUUACUGCCACCGAUGUAUUAGAGACAUGAAUAUAAAAUAUAAAAAACAGAAUACUGUCUUUUUGAGAUCAGCAGAGUCUUGGCCCAGUCUCCCAUUCUCCCCCAGCACUGCAAAGACCUCCGAUUGACAAUCGACAAUGUCCAAGGCUUAUUAAAGCAAAUGCAACAGUAUACAUUUAAGAUGGUAGUGGUUACUACUACUACUACCUCUUUACUAUUGUGUUUGCUGUUGCUGAUAUAUGCUUGUUUUCUGCUUGUCUACAUUUCAGACCAUGAAUCGUUCCUCAAGAAACAGCAGGAGGAUAUCAGUCCUUUUGAAAGCCCAUCAUUUUUUCCCCCCCCAUUUUGUAUUUAUUUUGUCUCCUUUAAGUAUUUAUAUAAUAUAUAUAUUUUAUAUAUGGAUAUUUUUCUUUUUCAUUUCACAGCUGCUGUGUUUUUAUUUGUGGUACCGUAAAAGUCACUUUGAGGUUUUAAGUUACAAAGGAAAAAAUGUAAGUGACAAAGUAUAGCUGGUGAAAUUGGAUGGUGAUGGCAAUUGUCAAAAUUAUGGGUGUAUGUCUUGAUAUUCCAGACGACGAAGAAGGUAUCCACACAUCCUAGCCCGUCAAUUUUGGUCUAUUUGAAAAAAAUAUUCCUAAUAGUGUACAGCAGACAUGUAAGUGAUUAUUUUUAUCAGCUAUACUUCAAUGGUGAUGGUGAUUGUCAAAAUUAUGGGUGUAUGUCUUGAUAUUUCAGCUGAUGAUGAUGUCCCCACAUCAGUAAACACUGAAAACAAUUUGCUUGCAGCAGUACUAAUCUUGCACUCUUGUGGUUCUCCUCACUGAUCAUUACUGCAGCAGUGAGAAGGGGACGGUGUCCUCUUGUAAUUUUUUUGUAUACUUUUUUUUAUUUCUGAAGACUUUUAUUUAGUUAAAUUAAAAAAAACUUUUUUACAAAUUGCCUAGAAAAGAUGCAAACAAAAAAAAUGUGGCAAAAAUAAAAUGUUUUGUGCACAAUCACUGUCAAAGUUCUUCAUAUUAUCUCCUGUAUGAGCUACUGUCCAUGGGUCAUAGUAAGUAUGCAAACCGUACAGGCUAGGGGUGUGAAAUUUGGCAUGCUCAAACUACAUGUAUAUAUGAACAACUGUGCAAUGUCUCAUGAGCCUAAACCUUACAGAACAGGUUUGGUGGACCUGUGACUUUAAGUCUUUAAUGCACAUGAAGGGGAAAGGGGGCAAGGUAACAGGGGGUCUCGUGGCUGACCCCUGCAGGCACCGUGAAGUAGCUCCCAUGAAGGCUUCACAACCAAACUCCUGCUAUAACUCUUGUAAAGUACUCUUACCAUUUGUAACAGUAUUUUGUAAUUCACUGAUUAACAAUGUGUGUCGUUGUUUAACCCCAUGUUUUAAUUAAAAAACAUUGCUGGCACCAGCUCA